rnacentral:rRNA from 1 species
AACGAACGCUGGCGGCAUGCCUAACACAUGCAAGUCGAACGCGACCUUCUGGUCUAGUGGCGCACGGGUGCGUAACGCGUGUGAACCUGCCCUUUGGUUCGGACUCUCUCCCCGAGAGUGGUGCUAAUAACGGAUAAUUUCUUCGCACUAAGGAUUUAUAGCGUUUGGUUGGGCCCGCGUUGGAUUCGCUAGUUGGUAGGGUAAAAGCCCAUCAAGGUGACGAUCCAUAGCUGGUCUGAGAGGAUGAUCAGCCACACUGGGACUGAGACACGGCCCAGACUCCUACGGGAGGCAGCAGUGGAGAAUAUUGGACAAUGGGCGAAAGCCUGAUACAGAAAUGCCGCGUGAGUGAUGAAGGCCUUAGGGGGGUAAAGCUCUUGUAACCGGGAGGAUAAUGACAGUACCGGGAGAAUAAGCUCCGGCUAACUCCGUG